GAUGAAGAACGCAGCGAAAUGCGAUAAGUAGUGUGAAUUGCAGAAUUCAGUGAAUCAUCGAAUCUUUGAACGCACAUUGCGCCCAUUAGUAUUCUAGUGGGCAUGCCUGUUCGAGCGUCAUUUCAACCCUUAAGCCUAGCUUAGUAUUGGGAAUCGACUUUACUGUCGUUCCUCAAAUUCAACGGCGGAUUUAUAGCAAUCUCUGAACGUAGUAAUUUUUUUCCUCGUUUUUGAAAUACUAUAAACCUCAGCCGCUAAACCCCCAAUUUUUCUAUGGUUGACCUCGGAUCAGGUAGGAAUACCCGCUGAACUUAAGCAUAUCAAUAAGCGGAGGA
rnacentral:misc_RNA from 1 species